rnacentral:rRNA from 1 species
CCUACGGGGGGCUGCAGUGGGGAAUAUUGCACAAUGGGCGCAAGCCUGAUGCAGCCAUGCCGCGUGUGUGAAGAAGGCCUUCGGGUUGUAAAGCACUUUCAGCGGGGAGGAAGGCGUUAAGGUUAAUAACCUUGUCGAUUGACGUUACCCGCAGAAGAAGCACCGGCUAACUCCGUGCCAGCAGCCGCGGUAAUACGGAGGGUGCAAGCGUUAAUCGGAAUUACUGGGCGUAAAGCGCACGCAGGCGGUCUGUCAAGUCGGAUGUGAAAUCCCCGGGCUCAACCUGGGAACUGCAUUCGAAACUGGCAGGCUAGAGUCUUGUAGAGGGGGGGAGAAUUCCAGGUGUAGCGGUGAAAUGCGUAGAGAUCUGGAGGAAUACCGGUGGCGAAGGCGGCCCCCUGGACAAAGACUGACGCUCAGGUGCGAAAGCGUGGGGAGCAAACAGGAUUAGAUACCCCGGUAGUC